rnacentral:rRNA from 1 species
GCUGGCGGCGUGCCUAACACAUGCAAGUCGAACGAGAAAGUGGAGCAAUCCAUGAGUAAAGUGGCGACCGGGUGAGUAACACGUGACUAACCUACCUUCGAGUGGGGGAUAACCUCGGGGAACCGGGGCUAAUACCGCAUAACAUCUUUGAAGUGGAAAUUUCGGAGAUCAAAGGAGCAAUUCGCUGGAAGAGGGGGUCGCGGCUGAUUAGCUAGUUGGCGGGGUAACGGCCCACCAAGGCUUAGAUCGGUAGCCGGCCUGAGAGGGCGCACGGCCACACUGGAACUGAAACACGGUCCAGACUCCUACGGGAGGCAGCAGUGGGGAAUUUUGCGCAAUGGGGGAAACCCUGACGCAGCAACGCCGCGUGGAGGAUGAAGUCCCUUGGGACGUAAACUCCUUUCGACCCGGACGAUAAUGACGGUACGGGUGGAAGAAGCCCCGGCUAACUUCGUGCCAGCAGCCGCGGUAAUACGAGGGGGGCAAGCGUUGUUCGGAAUUAUUGGGCGUAAAGGGCGCGUAGGCGGUGCGGUAAGUCACCUGUGAAACCUCUAGGCUCAACCUAGAGCCUGCAGGCGAAACUGCCGUGCUUGAGGGUGGGAGAGGUGC